rnacentral:misc_RNA from 1 species
GAAUAAAAGCACAAUUUUAGAUGGUGUUGAAAAAAGCAGUUUAGAAAAAGUUGUUUUGUUAUUUUAGUAUCCUUAUUACUAAAAUAGAUCAAAUUUAAACUUUUUCUCAGUAGCAGAUUUAACUGGAAUACCAAACAGGCCCUAAGUUUAUAAGGAAGUGCACUACGGCAGUCUUUGUAGCGCUAAUCGUAUGAAAUUCCAUUUCAUUUUAUCCAAGUCACUGCCUUCUAUUUUGUUUCAGUGCACGUAAGAAUUUUUGAACUUUGGCCUACUUGAAAAUGCUGCUUUAUUUCUAUACAAUUGGGCUAGUAGAGUGAAUUUUAAUAUAGCAGUGUGAGAUCUAUCAAGAUGAUGAUCUGAUCAGCUACUGCUGCUACUUCCUCUUAGCUUUAAAAUCUAAAAUUGGAUAUGAGCGCUUCAUCAUGUCCAAGUCAUUUUUAUCAAACUUUAAGGUAUAGGGGUAUUUGACUUCCAUCAUGGUGCAGAUUGCAGAUCCCUAUUUACUCAGGAUGUGUAAAUGCUUUCUAAGAAAAGCUAGGCAUCUUACUUUGCCUGAAGCACAUUAUUGACUACCUUCUGGUUAUCUGCUCUGAAGUCUUUGCCUACUUCUAUUCAAGCCAUUUAUUAAGCACUGAUAGGAUACAAUUGACAAAAAUAUAAAACCUUCAUGGACUGUAAACUCGCAUGUGAAGCCUUUUUCGUAGAAAUUUUAGCAUGAUGGAAAUAUUGAAGAGAAAGUUCAACUAGUUUUUAAUAAUAUAAAUAAGAAUUGUAUUAUAUCCAUAUUUCAUGUUGCUUAGUCACAAAAGCAUGGCUUGUGUUUUCUUUAUGUGGGUUUUUCAUAUAACGUGGUCAUACUAGGCCGUAAUUAAUUGAUUGCGAGAGAAGGUGUAUGUG